rnacentral:piRNA from 1 species
UCUUAUGUUGUCAGUUGUCCUGCUGAUU